UACAGAGGGUGCGAGCGUUGUUCGGAAUUACUGGGCGUAAAGCGCGCGCAGGCGGCUUUUUAAGUCUGACGGUGAAAUGCCGGGGCUCAACCCCGUGCCCGCCGCGGAUACUGGGAAGCUGGAGACAUGUAGAGGCAAGCGGAAUUCCGGGUGUAGCGGUGGAAUGCGUAGAGAUCCGGAAGAACACCGGAGGCGAAGGCGGCUCUCUGGGACGGUACUGACGCUGAGACGCGAAAGCGUGGGGAGCAACAGG
rnacentral:rRNA from 1 species